AUCACGUGACAUAUGUUGGGCGUGAAUUCGUGUUCAUUCAGUAGGCUGUCAGUAAAGCACGAGGAAGGACACAUAUCGAAGCAGCGAGGAAGGACACAAAGCAGAAAGGCUGAUGAGUCUAUGAUUGGUGAUCUGCACCUUCUUCAUAACCCAAGUUUGUUCUGAUGUCUACCAUCAUUCCAGUUGACUCUCACAGUGGUGAACUUUAUAACGCUGUCAUGGGAACCAGAACUAUUACCUCAGUGAAAGCCAAGACAUUUUCAUUGUUCAACUAACCAAUGCUAAUCAUGUGAUGCUUGUUGAGAGUGCAUGUUCAUUCAGCACACAGUUGGUAAAGGACAAAAAAAAAGAACACAGAGCAUGGAAGGAAGG
rnacentral:lncRNA from 1 species